ensembl:ncRNA F26D11.17 ncRNA
CCAACAUUCCAGAGGUCGACCACCAAAUUGUUUGAAACUAACAAGCACUGCCAUCAUAAUAAGAAACGAUGAUGUGUAAAAGUAGGAGAGCCUGUCCACAAAAUCGUCGUCCUUCCGGUAGUGCAGGAAGGAGAGCGCACUGCAAAUA